GAUGAACGCUGGCGGCGUGCCUAAUACAUGCAAGUCGAGCGAACGGAUAAGGAGCUUGCUCCUUUGACGUUAGCGGCGGACGGGUGAGUAACACGUGGGUAACCUACCUAUAAGACUGGUAUAACUCCGGGAAACCGGGGCUAAUGCCGGAUAACAUUUAGAACCGCAUGGUUCUAAAGUGAAAGAUGGUUUUGCUAUCACUUAUAGAUGGACCCGCGCCGUAUUAGCUAGUUGGUAAGGUAACGGCUUACCAAGGCAACGAUACGUAGCCGACCUGAGAGGGUGAUCGGCCACACUGGAACUGAGACACGGUCCAGACUCCUACGGGAGGCAGCAGUAGGGAAUCUUCCGCAAUGGGCGAAAGCCUGACGGAGCAACGCCGCGUGAGUGAUGAAGGUCUUCGGAUCGUAAAACUCUGUUAUUAGGGAAGAACAAAUGUGUAAGUAACUGUGCACGUCUUGACGGUACCUAAUCAGAAAGCCACGGCUAACUACGUG
rnacentral:rRNA from 1 species